UACGUAGGGUGCAAGCGUUAAUCGGAAUUACUGGGCGUAAAGCGUGCGCAGGCGGUUAUGCAAGACAGAUGUGAAAUCCCCGGGCUUAACCUGGGAACUGCAUUUGUGACUGCAUAGCUAGAGUACGGUAGAGGGGGAUGGAAUUCCGCGUGUAGCAGUGAAAUGCGUAGAUAUGCGGAGGGACACCGAUGGCGAAGGCAGUCCCCUGGACCUGUACUGACGCUCAUGCACGAAAGCGUGGGGAGCAAACAGG
rnacentral:rRNA from 1 species